AACUAUUUGGAGCCGAGUCUGGUGCCACAAAAAGCACUAGUACGGGGGACGAUUUACUUGGGGUGAAUAUUUGCUUCGGCUUGGAGCAGACUAGGGAGAACCUUCUUCCCGAACCCGUCAACUAACCUCGGAGGCGCAAAUGAAGGAGGAU
rnacentral:sRNA from 1 species